rnacentral:lncRNA from 1 species
GAUAUUCUAGUUGCUACUUCUUAUGUACACCGGACUGCGGAGUAGUGAUUAUUUCAUAAAUAAUCUGAUGGCACGAAUAUCACAAAUAGGUUUUAGACUCCUUGGAGUGCUAAUGUCCUGUAAUUACAACGUUUACACUUCUCUUAGUCUUUAAAUAUUUCCAUUUCCAUUGUCCAUUACAAGUUCGAUUACACGUUUGACUUACAAAUGAGCGAGUGAAGGUUGCGUAAAGAUGUAAACUUCAUCGUAUCCCUUCCUGCGGUCACAAAGCAAAGCAUAGGCAACCAAGUUAAUAAAUUCAUGCACAGAUCCAAAAUACAGGUGCAGUUUGAAGAGCACUUUUUGGCUUACCCAGCCUUCCCACANN